rnacentral:ncRNA from 2 species
UGAGCUCGCGCGGGCACUAGUCUGUCCGCACACGUCUCGUGGAGCAGGAACCCGGUGCGAGUCCGGGGCGGUUCCGCCACUGUGAGGUCACCUGCUCCGACGAGCAGGUGACCCAGCCAGACACUGGCCACGGGACCUCCUUCCAC